GAUGAAGAACGUAGCGAAAUGCGAUAAGUAGUGUGAAUUGCAGAAUUCAGUGAAUCAUCGAAUCUUUGAACGCACAUUGCGCCCUCUGGUAUUCCGGGGGGCAUGCCUGUUCGAGCGUCAUUAUAACCACUCAAGCUCUCGCUUGGUAUUGGGGUUCGCGGUUUCGCGGCCCCUAAAAUCAGUGGCGGUGCCUGUCGGCUCUACGCGUAGUAAUACUCCUCGCGAUUGAGUCCGGUAGGUCUACUUGCCAGCAACCCCUAAUUUUUUUAAGGUUGACCUCGGAUCAGGUAGGGAUACCCGCUGAACUUAAGCAUAUCAAUAAGCGGAGGA
rnacentral:misc_RNA from 1 species